UCUGGAUAACAGGUCCAAUACCUGUAGUAGAUUAGUGAGGUAUAUAUAUAUCUGUAUUUCAGUUUUUCCUUUAUUAACUCAUUAUUGCUAAAGCAACAUUCAACAAAUGUAUUAAACCCAACCUUGGCCCCAAUUCAAAGAAAUUAUCAUUAGAUUUAAUGUUUUUCUUUUGCUUUGCUGACUAGGGGAGGAGACCCUUAAAUACUCCAGGAGAACUCCAUCUUGUGGGAAGCAGAAUUGCACUGCAUUGAGGUGGCGUGUAAUGCAUAGUUAUUAGACAGGAUGAGCUGAUUGGGGGAGUCACUCCUGAACAACACUGAUCAGUUGUUUCAGUUUCCAUGAAGACAGAACAGUAAUAAAAGAGAGAUGGGAAUGCAGGAAAGAGAAAGAAAUCCAGUGCUUCAGGCUGGUUUAGUAAGAAAUGAAACUAGAAACUGCACAGAGAGCCCAGUGAGGGAACGGCUUGUUUAUCUCAUACGUCAGCAGCCUCCCAUGGAAACUGUGCUUCAGUCCUGUAAAGAACACAGACACAUGACAAAACAAAAAGACUAAAAAUAUGAAGAAGAAACUGCUAAAUAUAUUAAUUUUGUAAUUUC